rnacentral:rRNA from 1 species
GAGGAACCAUCUGCCAAGUGUCCCCAUGGUGAGACGUCUGACCAGAGCACGAAGGUCGACGACGUUCAGGUCCCCGAUCAGAAGCACGACUACAAAGUGCACCUCAAGGAGGUUUACAUCCACGGCAAGGAAAAGCUGGAUGUCGUAUGCACCAGCAAUCCUGAGGAAGCCAACAAGAUGAUCAGCAGGAUCCUGAAGAGGCUCUACAGCUUGUACCCUCACUACAUCGGCGUUGAUGUCGAGUAUACCAGGGAGGACCAAUCUCCGCAGAGGGCAGCGGUUCUACAGUUAUGCGUGGAGGAACUCUGUUUGGUAUAUCACAUCACGGCGGCAACAAAAUGGCCCAAGAGCCUGCGCCCGUUCCUGAAGGAGGACAGGUUCUACAGCUUUGCUGGCUUCAGUAUUGAAGGUGACAAAGAGAUGCUGCGAAGUUCUGGUUUGGAGAUCAACCCCGACAAGUACGUCGACAUCCAGCGCAAAUGGAGAGUUCCUUUCAAGGGAACAAAGAGAGUUGAAGACCAUAAACUGUGGGGGAUCAGCCCACUGCCAAAUUACCUCAUUGAGUAUGCAGCGAUAGAUGCGUAUGCAACCUACGAGUUGUGGAAGAGAAUU